rnacentral:rRNA from 1 species
GAUGAACGCUGGCGGCGUGCCUAAUACAUGCAAGUCGAGCGAACAGACGCGGAGUUUGCUCCGCUGACGUUAGCGGCGGACGGGUGAGUAACACGUGGAAAACCUCCCUAUAAGUCUGGGAUAACUUCGGGAAACCGGCGCUAAUCCCGGAUAAUAUAUUGAACCGCAUGGUUCAUUCGUGAAAUACGGUUUUGCUGUCACUUAUAGAUGGAUCCCCGCCGCAUUGGAUAGUUGGUAAGGUACCAGCUUACCAAGGGAACGAUGCGUAGCCGAGCUGCGGGGGUGGUCGGCCACAUGGGAACGGGAACAGGGUCCAUACGACUGCGAGAGGGAGCAGUCGGGAAUCGGCCGCAAUGGGCGAGAGCAUGACGGAGCAACGCCGCGUGAGUGAUGGAGACCUUGGGAGCGUAAAGCUCGGUUAUGAGUUAAGAACAAAUUUGUAAUUAACCGUGCACGUCGUGACGGUACCGGGUCAGAAAGCCACGGCUAACUACGUG